GGGCCCGUAGCUCAAUGGAUAGAGUAUGUGGCUUCGAACCACAGGAUCCGGGUUCGAUUCCUGGCGGGCCCA
rnacentral:tRNA from 1 species